rnacentral:piRNA from 1 species
CGGGGAAGGAAGGCAGCAAUAAGAGAACUGC